CAAAUCGUUCUGGGCGUCCUGGUCAAGUUCACUCCCCCGCCGAAAGAUGACAGAAAAACAGGCGCGGACGGCGGGCAGGUGCCGGUACAGCGCGACAGCCUCAUGCAGCCGAAGAUCAAGAAGUUCGUGCCCUUUUCUAAAGUCAGCUCUUUCACAGCUGCUGACAUCAGUCGCGUCAAGUCCACGGAGAUCUGGUAAUGUUGCAAACCGUUCUGGGCGUCCUGGUCAAGUUCACUCCCCCGCCGAAAGAUGACAGAAAAACAGGCGCGGACGGCGGGCAGGUGCCGGUACAGCGCGACAGCCUCAUGCAGCCGAAGAUCAAGAAGUUCGUGCCCUUUUCUAAAGUCAGCUCUUUCACAGCUGCUGACAUCAGUCGCGUCAAGUCCACGGAGAUCUGGUAGGUUGGCGCACAAGUUGUCGUCUGCUUCUCCCAAGGUCUGCGGAAAAGUGAUCCAAUAUUAUUUCUCUGGUGGCAGAUGAAGCUAUCAAAUGUCUGUCAAUUGAUGUACAUCAGAAACAUACAAAUAUUUAUAAUCAUUUCCUAUGAUUGAGAAUGAAUAAAGAAAAAACAAAAU